rnacentral:rRNA from 2 species
UGUGUAGCGGUGAAAUGCGUAGAUAUAUGGAAGAACACCCAGUGGGAAGGCGGCCGUCUGGUCUGUAACCGACGCUGAGGCUCGAAAGUAUGGGUAGCAAACAGGAUUAGAUACCCUGGUAGUCCAUACCGUAAACGAUGAAUGCUAAGUGUUGGAGGGUUUCCGCCCUUCAGUGCUGCAGCUAACGCAUUAAGCAUUCCGCCUGGGGAGUACGGCCGCAAGGCUGAAACUCAAAGGAAUUGACGGGGGCCCGCACAAGCGGUGGAGCAUGUGGUUUAAUUCGAAGCUACGCGAAGAACCUUACCAGGUCUUGACAUACUAUGCAAAUCUAAGAGAUUAGACGUUCCCUUCGGGGACAUGGAUACAGGUGGUGCAUGGUUGUCGUCAGCUCGUGUCGUGAGAUGUUGGGUUAAGUCCCGCAACGAGCGCAACCCUUAUUAUCAGUUGCCAGCAUUAAGUUGGGCACUCUGGUGAGACUGCCGGUGACAAACCGGAGGAAGGUGGGGAUGACGUCAAAUCAUCAUGCCCCUUAUGACCUGGGCUACACACGUGCUACAAUGGAUGGUACAACGAGUUGCGAACUCGCGAGAGUAAGCUAAUCUCUUAAAGCCAUUCUCAGUUCGGAUUGUAGGCUGCAACUCGCCUACAUGAAGUCGGAAUCGCUAGUAAUCGCGGAUCAGCAUGCCGCGGUGAAUACGUUCCCGGGCCUUGUACACACCGCCCGUCACACCAUGAGAGUUUGUAACACCCAAAGUCGGUGGGGUA